UCCACACUGUGGAAGCUUUGUUCUUUUGCUCUUUGCAAUAAAUCUUGCUACUGCUCACUCUUUGGGUCCAUGCUGCUUUUAUGAGCUGUAACACUCACCACGAAGGCCUGCAGCUUCACUCCUGAAGCCAGCGAGACCACGAGCCCGCCGGGAGGAACGAACAACUCCAGAUGUGCCGCCUUAAGAGCUGUAACACUCACCGCAAAGGUCUGCAGCUUCACUCCUGAGCCAGCGAGACCACGAACCCACCAGAAGGAAGAAACUCCGAACACAUCCGAACAUCAGAAGGAACAAACUCCAGACGCACCACCUUAAGAGCUGUAACACUCACCGCAAGGGUCCGCAGUUUCAUUCUUGAAGUCAGUGAGACCAAGAACCCACCAAUUCCGGACACAUUUUGGCGACCCAGAUGGGACUUUCGCCUAUCACCAAGCGGUGAGACCAUCACCUAUAGCUGAGCGGUGAGACCAUCACCUAUAGCUGAGCGGCGAGACCAUCACCUAUCACCAAGCAAUGGGAAACACUCAGGCAUCAACAGGCUCACCCUUGAAAUGCAUCCUAAGCCAUUGGGACCAAUUUGAUCCACAAACCUUGAAAAAGAGGCGGCUCAUUUUUUUCUGCACUAUGGCUUGGGCCCAAUAUUCUCUCUCUGAUGAGGAAAAAUGGCCACCUGAGGGAAGUACAAAUUACAAUACUAUCCUGCAGCUUGACCUUUUCUGUAAGAGGGAAGGCAAAUGGAGUGAAAUACCUUAUGUCCAAGCUUUCUUUUCAUUGAAGAAUCAAGGCCAUCAAGCUACAGAUGGGCUUAC
rnacentral:lncRNA from 10 species